UACGAAGGGGGCUAGCGUUGCUCGGAAUCACUGGGCGUAAAGGGUGCGUAGGCGGGUCUUUAAGUCAGGGGUGAAAUCCUGGAGCUCAACUCCAGAACUGCCUUUGAUACUGAGGAUCUUGAGUCCGGGAGAGGUGAGUGGAACUGCGAGUGUAGAGGUGAAAUUCGUAGAUAUUCGCAAGAACACCAGUGGCGAAGGCGGCUCACUGGACUGGUAUUGACGCUGAGGUGCGAAAGCGUGGGGAGCAAACAGG
rnacentral:rRNA from 1 species